UACGUAGGGGGCGAGCGUUGUCCGGAGUUACUGGGCGUAAAGCGCACGCAGGCGGUCUGCUAAGUUUGGAGUGACAGUUGGUGGCUUAACUGCCAAAGUGCUUCGAAAACUGACAGACUUGAGGGCUUCAGAGGGACACGGAAUUCCGGGGUGGAGUGGUGAAAUGCGUAGAGAUCCGGAGGAACACCAAAGGCGAAGGCAGUGUCCUGGGGAGUACCUGACGCCUCAGGUGCGGAAAGCCAGGGGAGGCGAACGGG
rnacentral:rRNA from 1 species